GGAAUAUAAGAACCUGCCUCUUAACUUUUAAAAACUAAGAACCGGUUCUUAAAUAAGAGUUUUAAGAGCCGGUUCUUAACGUUUUUAGUUAAAAAUUAAGAGACUGGUUCUUAUAUUCC
rfam:Brassica napus, WGS project CCCW01000000 data, contig: 4537